UCCCUUUGUUGUGUGACCCCAUCGAUUCAAUUAUAUAUGGUAGUGAGAUAUACAAUGAUCUUUAUCAUAGUAUCAUUGAAACUCUUUUCAAUGGGUCAGAAUAAUUUCUCUUUAACUCAUCAAAGAUUAUUGAUCCUGAGCAAUCCUAGUGAGCUCUCAUAAUCCACCAAUGACACCUAGCAGUAUAUAGUGACAAUCCAGUAAAACAAAAAAAAAAUCUCAAGGUGUAGUUUAUGUAUGAUUCAGUCUCUCUAUCAUGAAUCCUGACUAGAUGGCAGAUCUUGGAUAAAUCGUCAAACCUCAUCAUCAGUCAUAUGAUAGAUUCAAUCAGCUCAAGUCCAAUUAUGAUUCUUAUGAAAACUUUUUUCCACCAAUCACAUUGCUGUGGCAACAAACUCUUGGACUUAGCCUCUCAAAUCUCAUAGGACUACUCAUUUCUAUCAAAAUCGAUAGAUUUCAUCUUGAUGUGCACCCUACUCCUACAGUAGAUCAACUGUCACCAACAUCUACUACAAGAGCUCAUUGAGAU
rnacentral:lncRNA from 1 species